rnacentral:rRNA from 1 species
UACGUAGGGUGCGAGCGUUAAUCGGAAUUACUGGGCGUAAAGCGUGCGCAGGCGGUUUUGUAAGACAGAUGUUAAAUCCCCGGGCUUAACCUGGGAACUGCGUUUGUGACUGGAUAGCUUGAGUACGGGAGAGGGUAGCGGAAUUUCGAGUGUAGCGGUGAAGUGCGUAGAUAUUAGGAGGAACACCAGUGGCGAAGGCGACUUACUGGACUAUAACUGACGCUGAGGUACGAAAGCGUGGGGAGCAAAC